UGGGGAAUAUUGGACAAUGGGCGAAAGCCUGAUCCAGCCAUGCCGCGUGAGUGACGAAGGCCUUAGGGUUGUAAAACUCUUUCGUCGGGGACGAUAAUGACGGUACCCGAAGAAGAAGCUCCGGCUAACUUCGUGCCAGCAGCCGCGGUAAUACGAAGGGAGCUAGCGUUGUUCGGAAUCACUGGGCGUAAAGCGCACGUAGGCGGAUAGUUAAGUCAGAGGUGAAAUCCCGGAGCUCAACUUCGGAACUGCCUUUGAUACUGGCAAUCUAGAGUCCGGAAGAGGUUAGUGGAAUUCCCAGUGUAGAGGUGAAAUUCGUAGAUAUUGGGAAGAACACCAGUGGCGAAGGCGGCUAACUGGUCCGGUACUGACGCUGAGGUGCGAAAGCGUGGGGAGCAAACAGGAUUAGAUACCCCAGUAGUCCCUGAGCGGGCUGGCAAGGCGCAU
rnacentral:rRNA from 1 species